rnacentral:tRNA from 1 species
GUUCUCAUAGUUAAAGUAUAUAACGAUGGUUUUUCAGGCCAUAGGUCCUGGGUUGUCCAGGUGAGAACA